rnacentral:rRNA from 1 species
AUUGAACGCUGGCGGCAGGCCUAACACAUGCAAGUCGAACGGUAACAGGAAGCAGCUUGCUGCUUCGCUGACGAGUGGCGGACGGGUGAGUAAUGUCUGGGAAACUGCCUGAUGGAGGGGGAUAACUACUGGAAACGGUAGCUAAUACCGCAUAACGUCGCAAGACCAAAGAGGGGGACCUUCGGGCCUCUUGCCAUCAGAUGUGCCCAGAUGGGAUUAGCUAGUAGGUGGGGUAACGGCUCACCUAGGCGACGAUCCCUAGCUGGUCUGAGAGGAUGACCAGCCACACUGGAACUGAGACACGGUCCAGACUCCUACGGGAGGCAGCAGUGGGGAAUAUUGCACAAUGGGCGCAAGCCUGAUGCAGCCAUGCCGCGUGUAUGAAGAAGGCCUUCGGGUUGUAAAGUACUUUCAGCGGGGAGGAAGGCGAUGUGGUUAAUAACCACGUCGAUUGACGUUACCCGCAGAAGAAGCACCGGCUAACUCCGUGCCAGCAGCCGCGGUAAUACGGAGGGUGCAAGCGUUAAUCGGAAUUACUGGGCGUAAAGCGCACGCAGGCGGUCUGUCAAGUCGGAUGUGAAAUCCCCGGGCUCAACCUGGGAACCGCAUCCGAAACUGGCAGGCUUGAGUCUCGUAGAGGGGGGUAGAAUUCCAGGUGUAGCGGUGAAAUGCGUAGAGAUCUGGAGGAAUACCGGUGGCGAAGGCGGCCCCCUGGACGAAGACUGACGCUCAGGUGCGAAAGCGUGGGGAGCAAACAGGAUUAGAUACCCUGGUAGUCCACGCCGUAAACGAUGUCGACUUGGAGGUUGUGCCCUUGAGGCGUGGCUUCCGGAGCUAACGCGUUAAGUCGACCGCCUGGGGAGUACGGCCGCAAGGUUAAAACUCAAAUGAAUUGACGGGGGCCCGCACAAGCGGUGGAGCAUGUGGUUUCAUUCGAUGCAACGCGAAGAACCCUACCUGGUCUUGACAUCCACAGAACUUUCCAGAGAUGGAUUGGUGCCUUCGGGAACUGUGAGACAGGUGCUGCAUGGCUGUCGUCAGCUCGUGUUGUGAAAUGUUGGGUUAAGUCCCGCAACGAGCGCAACCCUUAUCCUUUGUUGCCAGCGGUCCGGCCGGGAACUCAAAGGAGACUGCCAGUGAUAAACUGGAGGAAGGUGGGGAUGACGUCAAGUCAUCAUGGCCCUUACGACCAGGGCUACACACGUGCUACAAUGGCGCAUACAAAGAGAAGCAAUCUCGCGAGAGUUAGCGGACCUCAUAAAGUGCGUCGUAGUCCGGAUUGGAGUCUGCAACUCGACUCCAUGAAGUCGGAAUCGCUAGUAAUCGUGAAUCAGAAUGUCACGGUGAAUACGUUCCCGGGCCUUGUACACACCGCCCGUCACACCAUGGGAGUGGGUUGCAAAAGAAGUAGGUAGCUUAACCUUCGGGAGGGCGCUUACCACUUUGUGAUUCAUGACUGGGGUGAAGUC